rnacentral:lncRNA from 1 species
ACACCGUGGUCUCGGAAACGACUUUUAAAAAAAAAAAACGAAUCUGUCCGACAAUGGCCUCCCCUCCUUUUUCAGCCAAACUUCCCCAAACCUUGAACAGGAGAACGCUGGCGGAGCGGUCCAAUCCCCGGCAGGGCCCGCACCUGCGCCGGCGGGCUGGCUCCGAGCGAGUCCGCUCUGAUUUACGGCCCUGACGGGUCGCCGGCCUGGCAGCAGCUGCGGAACGGCAGGAAGAGGAAGCUGUUCAUCACGCGGGGAGCAUCUCAGCUCUGAGCUUCUCCUGCAGGAACGGCAUCCACAGUUGACUGGCGACUGUUGAUGACAUCAUCGAGGAACCUGCUGAAGAGAUGUCUGAGGAGUGAACGACGGAGGAUCCUCGGGGUCACGACCCAAAGGUCACAGCCGAGACACCGGCCCGUAAAUCCAGAGCUUAACCCGUCAGGAUCAGCGGCUUCUUCCACGCCAGCAGAUCAAACCCGUCCGCCUCAUUUCCACCUGUACGGUCCAGAACUUACAGUUGAUCCUCUGGUUCUUCCAGCUGCUUCACACCGCUGAAGGUCCAGUGAAGCCAGCAGAACAUAGAGUCCCUCAGGCUCACCCUGGACGUUCUGUCCAUAAGAACAUGAACAGAACCAGUAAGAAAAGAA